CCCCUUGGCAUGCUUGGAACCCUCCCUCUCCCCAGUGUGACGGUGUCCUCUCUAUCACUCAGAAGCAAAGCUGGCCAGCGUCAACGUCAGUGAGAGUGCAGAUCAGCUGAAGAUUUUUUAAAGCCCCAGAGAGGAUAAAUAAGAAUCCCUUUUUUAAAAGACAGACAUAAAGGGAGAAGUAUCAAAGGAGGAGAAGCGUUCUGGUCCUACCUGAAGUUUGGAGAUUCACUGGGGACACAUGUCCAGCUGGGUUUUGUGCAUAAUAUGGAAAAGAUAGCAAGACUGCUGUUAUUUAUACAAUGCCGGAGACACACAACGCCCCCAACACACAAAGCCCUUGGUGACAGAUACUGGAAUUGCAGCUUCCCUCACUCAGCUGGAACCAGAGAACACGGCAGAUGGGUAUUUAUUUCAUUUCCCUGCUGGAGGAAGUCCAGACAACUUUCAGACUCCCCAGGAAAGCUCCAGUUUAAUGCCGAUUGCUAAUGAACCCUCCCAUGCACCUGGUUUUAUGGCUGGAAGAAAGGAGAAAAACUGCAGAAGAAAAGGAGAGGACGGAGCUGUCAGCCCUGCAUACCCCAGAAGCCAGCCGCUCUCAUUUUAAGAGAAUAUAAAGUACUGUGGCACAACUGUGGGAUAAUUUAAUACCGACCGCUGGGUCUGCGACUGCCUGGUAGCUAUGCUGUUGGAAGGAUGCUGAUAGCCCAGAAAAGUUACACAGUAAACUGAACAUGAACUUUUCCAUGUUUUAGGCUAAUUGAAAGAAACCUUUUCAAAUAGGAUACAACAGGACUCUGAAGCCCAAUGAAUUGUUCCAGGACUAUUUUAUUUUUUAAUCAGUUGUUAACAUUAGAUGGGAAUGUGCUUCGCCUGUGGCUGUUGGUGCCAUUGAAAAUGAACCGGAGCUAUGGUUAAAAUUGGUUUUCAUGCCCUGCAAAGUUAUUAUAAACAACUGAAAUGGGAGAAACUGUCAACAAAUAUUAAUGUGACAUAGUAUGAGGAAAUACAUAAAAUUAAAUAAAUGCAUUCAAAACCUCUUUUAGCUAAGAGAACUGAACUGGUUUAUAGAUAAAUGUUUUAGGUGUAUUGUCCUUUAAUUAACGAAUAUAACAACAGUUACUCCAUUUCUUACUGAGUAGUACAGUUUAGCUUAACCAUCAGCUUGCUUGGCUGGAGAGACACCCAGGUUGGUAGAACACACUUCUGGGUGUGGAUGGGAGGGUCCUGUAGCUGGACGGUGUGGGGACCUUCUGGACUGUGAGUCUCUGGUCAGCUCCUCUCAGGACCUCUCCUCCUGUGCUCUGUCUCCCGGCUGCCAAGAAGGGAGCAGAUGUGCUCUGCUUCAUCCUUCACCGUGAAGUUUCUGUCUGGAGCCAACGAAUCAUGGACUGAAACCCAGAAAUUGUGAGUCAAAGCCCUCCUCCUCAAAGCUAUGAGUACUGAGUACUUUGACCCACCAAAGAGAACGUUGAUCAAUAUACUAGGCAUUUAA